rnacentral:lncRNA from 1 species
AGUGAAGAGAACAGGUGUGAAGAGAGUAUAAGAGAGUAUGAAGAAGCAAGGUGUGCGGGCAGGACUCACGCCACCCUGUGCGAACCAGGACCCAGCAGAAUCUGGAGGACAGAACAAGAACCCCGCCAGCUCAGGCCAAACUCCUGCUUCACAGGGCAGGAGGCGGCCUCAUGAGGCCUUGUGGCAGCGCAGACCCCAAGAGGCCAAGAGAUGGAGCUCUCCAGUGUCCACACUUGCAGCUGAGGGCAGGGCUGCCUGUGUGAAACUUGAGCUCCUCUCCUGCCUCCCUCGGACUCUGAGCUCUCCUCCUGCUGGGCUUGAUUUGGAUGCAGAUACAGGAGAGGGUGAACAGCAGAAGCUUUCGUGAGAAGAGCAAAGUGACAGGGUCAAGACGCAGCCAAAGGCAAAAUUAGCGGUGACCCCACAAAAUGUCAAUAGGAAGACAAACGAAGAACACGGAAAAACUCCUCCCAGGAAGUGAUUCUUCCCUGAGACUUGGUGCCUAGUGAUCCUUGGGACGGAUCUACCCGGAGUCACAAAGAAAGGAAAUGUUCCUGAAAUUCACGUACAAUAAUAAGACUAUGUUUUAGCUUCUGUGGUGGGGUUCAUCCAAUUCUGCCUGCCGUUCUGGUCCUUUUCAAAAUUCAUCUGGUAAUGUAAUGCUCAGAGUUCUUAGAGUAAAAGACCCCUAGAUUAAGGUAGCAUUGAUUGAGAAACACCAAUUUGGCAAAUAAACAUCGUUCAUGUGUCAUAGCAGCUAUUAUCUAAGGGAAAACAAAUUAUAACAAGAAACAAACGAACGAAAUUCAUGAUAAAUAAAACUUUGCUAUUUUAGCUUUACCGCAGCAACGUAGAAGUCACAGCAGGAAAGAGAUAUUGGAAAUUUCUCCCUGGUGCCUACAAUUGAUAUUUUGUAUAUAAGCCUCUUGGGAGCUAUAUUUUUGGUUCACAAGUUACCUCAAAUGAGUAGCAAAUAAGCCACGGUUCUGUCAAGGGUGAAUGUAUUCAAUGUGACUUAAAUAAUCCAUUUCAAAAUGCAG